AAAACGUAUAAGGAUAACUAUAUGGAUUCAUUUUCCAUUUAUUAUUUUUUCACUAAAAAUCCAUGCCUCUCCUUUUCAACCAUUCCUUUCCUCUACUCCCAUAUUAUAUAUAUAUUUGACAAUCUGAUUGGUUGAACAAACUAAAAUCGUUUCUUGGCAUCACAAGUCACAAAUGUUGCCCUACGUUUCCCUGCAAGAGGCUCAAACCGCCAUUGGCCGACCUCUCACCACUGCCGAAACCUUAUGGUUUAAUUACACGGCCAAUAUGUCCGAUUACAUCAUCUACUGCCACAACAUUCCCAUUAUGUUUCUCCUAGACACUCUUGUACCUGUCUUCUACCUUGUUAUGGAACACAUGUUUCCUACUUACGUUGCACCUUACAAAGUUCAACCCAAGAUUAAGUAUUCGUUAAACGAUCACUUCAAAUGUUACUUGCUUGUAGCGCGAGGGUACCUCCUCGUUGUACCUUCACUGCUCGUCUCUUAUCCUACAGUAAAAAUGAUUGGUAUUCGAACAAGCUUGCCACUACCAUCAUCGACGGAGAUUAUAUUGCAACUGAUUGUCUACUUUGUUAUCGAAGACUACACGAACUAUUGGUUCCAUAGGUUAUUUCAUGUGAAGUGGCUAUAUGAGAACGUUCAUAAGGUUCAUCAUGAAUACACAGCACCUAUUGGGUUUGCAACUCAGCAUGCACACUGGGUGGAAACACUGGUCUUUGGUAUUCCAUCUAUUCUGGGACCUGCACUUGUUCCGGGACAUAUGGUUACAUUCUUGUUGUGGCUUGCCUUGAGGCAGACUGAGGCCAUUGAAAAUCACAGUGGGUAUGACUUUCCAUGGACAUUUAGAAAAUACAUCCCAUUUACUGCUGGUGCUGAUUACCAUGACUAUCAUCAUUACGUAGGAGGCCAAAGCCAAAGCAACUUUGCACCAGUCUUCACUUACUGUGACUACAUAUAUGGUACAGACAAGGUUUGAAUUUCAAACCUGGUUUAUUGAUGGAGAUGCUCUUAGCCUUAACCAAAGAACUGGGCUAUAGGUACCGCAAGAGACUCCUACAGAACAAGCAGUUGAAAGAUGGCUCAAAUGGUGGUUUGUCAUGUGCUUCUACGUCAGAUAUUAAGUCGGAGUAAUGAACCAUCUUCUUCCGUAUGGUAGAUCAGAAAAUUUAUUGGUUAAUUCGCAUGGUGGAUUGCCAAAGGAAGAACGUCUAUUUACUUAUAUAUAUAAUUGAGUGAAUAGAAUAAGUGAAUGUGAUCAUCACAUUACACACAGUGUAUAUCAAUAAUAAUGUGUAUGUACUAUGUCAACCUUAAGCUUCACUCGUCCUGAUAGCCUAGUCUGUGUGCCCGGAUUGUGUGGUUACAAUUUGUGACAAUAUCAGUCAGUGGCGUAUCAAUGAAUUUUCUUAUUAGUAUUAUAAUAUGUGAGAAUAUCAGUUAGUGGUGUAUCAAUAAAUGUUCUUAUUAGUUUUU